AUACGUAGGUGGCAAGCGUUGUCCGGAUUUACUGGGUGUAUAGGGCGUGUAGGCGGAGAUGCAAGUCAGGAGUGAAAUCUAGGGGCUCAACCCCUAAACUGCUUUUGAAACUGUAUCCCUUGAGUAUCGGAGAGGCAGGCGGAAUUUCUAGUGUAGCGGGGAAAUGCGUAGAUAUUAGGAGGAACACCAGUGGCGAAGGCGGCCUGCUGGACGACAACUGACGCUGAGGCGCGAAAGCGUGGGGAGCAAACAGGAUUAGAUACCCUGGUAGUCCACGCUGUAAACGAUGCUUACUAGGUGUGGGGGGACUGACCCCCUCCGUGCCGGCGUUAACACAAUAAGUAAGCCACCUGGGGAGUACGACCGCAAGGUUGAAACUCAAAGGAAUUGACGGGG
rnacentral:rRNA from 1 species